CAGAGCAGAGGAGAGAGCACCCGACCAUCCUUCCUCGCGUCUGCUCUUGAGAUUACAUCUCCGGCAGGAUGCGUGCUAAGUGGAGGAAGAAGCGCAUGCGAAGGCUCAAGCGAAAGCGCAGGAAGAUGAGGGCAAGGUCGAAGUAGGCUGUGUGCCCCCCAUCCUCCCAUCAUCCCCCUUCAGGCAACAUGUGAUAAGUGACAGGUGCCUGCCUUCCAGUGUCUGUCACCACUCCAUGCUGCCAUUAUAAUUUUCAUCAAUAAAUCUUAAGAAGGGGUUCAAGUAUUUUAUUUCAACACUGAGAGGUUGUAGAAGUAUAUACUGAAUGAAAGACUGGGCACAGGAGAGCCAUCUUCAAUAUGUGGAUAUAUGUAUAUGGAGAGGGAACCAGAAGCUGGGGGUGUAUAGAGAUGAGAACACAUCAAAUGGUAAAAGAUAUGAUUACAAGAUUGCAAAUAUGGUAAGAAAAAUGGAGAAACUUGCACCAAGCAGGAAAUGAGUAGAUGAAAUAAUGUACUAUAGUAGAAUGGAGAAAAAUCCUUUGGUUUGCCCUUUUAAGUCAACAACAUGAGCUACACCACCAGAUGUCAGGAAGGCUGCUACACAGGUCCAAGAGGAAGCU